rnacentral:rRNA from 1 species
AUUGAACGCUGGCGGAAUGCUUUACACAUGCAAGUCGAACGGCAGCACGGACUUCGGUCUGGUGGCGAGUGGCGAACGGGUGAGUAAUGUAUCGGAACGUGCCCAGUCGUGGGGGAUAACGUAGUGAAAAUUACGCUAAUACCGCAUACGAUCUAUGGAUGAAAGCGGGGGAUCGCAAGGCCUCGCGCGAUUGGAGCGGCCGAUAUCAGAUUAGGUAGUUGGUGGGGUAAAGGCCCACCAAGCCAACGAUCUGUAGCUGGUCUGAGAGGACGACCAGCCACACUGGAACUGAGACACGGUCCAGACUCCUACGGGAGGCAGCAGUGGGGAAUUUUGGACAAUGGGCGAAAGCCUGAUCCAGCAAUGCCGCGUGCAGGAUGAAGGCCCUCGGGUUGUAAACUGCUUUUGUACGGAACGAAAAGCCUGGGGCUAAUAUCCCCGGGUCAUGACGGUACCGUAAGAAUAAGCACCGGCUAACUACGUGCCAGCAGCCGCCGUAA